CAACAGCCCACUCACCUUUGCUACCCUUUAUGUUAUUUCCUUAUGUUUAACACAAUUAUUACGUGCCUUUUCCAGCUCAAACUGUGAAUUGAUUUAAAGUCAGUCCCAUAAUUUAAUAGUUUUUAUUUGAAAACUAUCUACCCUCGCAAAGAUUGUACUGAAGACUGCAUUUCAUUUUUCUUCAGCCUUGUACGCUUCACAUUGAAAUAGUAUGUAUUUCGACGGUUUCAUAAUGACAAAAUGUACACGACACAGAAUGAAGUUUUCCAAUUAGUUACAAGGCAUAAUUAAGCAUAGUGUGGAUAUUUCUGUCAUGUGAAUAUCAUUCCUUCACUUGUUUUAAGCCCUUCUUCUGUAAACCCAACAUGUUUAUGUAUUCUGUAAAGGUGUCUGUCUUUACGUCCAUUAUCCUACGUCUUGCCAUAAGCCCCUAAUUCUUAACACUACCAACCUUUUAGUUUCUAAUUUGCUAAGUGGCAAGUCUAUAUCCACAGCUUAACAUUUAACAGCUUUUGGAGCUAAACAGUCAACAUCAUCAUUUCCCUCAACAGUGUGAUGUGCAGGACCCAUCAUGUGCAGACAUAUAAAUCAAACUUUAUAUAUGAAAUAGCGUUUGACAAGUUUCCAACAGUCAAUGUGACCUACUGCCAGAAUGACCUGUUUAAGACUCAUCAAAACCGAAAUAUAUUCUGAGCAAAUUAUAAGGACCAAUUUCUUCCAUCCACUGUAAGCCUAAACUAUUGGCAAAGAAUUCUGCCUUCUAUGCUGAUAAAUGGCUAUAAGUCAUUUCUUUAUCAUUACCUGCAAUUCAGGCACACAAAAACAGCCACACCAACAUCCCCAAUUAAAUUAUCUUUUGAUUCAUCUGUAAAAAUGGUUACUGUAUGAUAAUAACUUUCAUUAAUAUACUGAUGACCAACAGACUCUCAGGCAGAACCGAAUCCAAUCGUGUAAAAACUAAAAUCAACUGAAGUCAUUGGGAAAAACAAUGUGGGGUUACAGAGAACGCUACAGUGGGAUAUACUGUAUCAUCAAAUACACCCGUAUUCCCAGCGUGAUAAGAACCCAGCCACCCAAAACAAAAAACACUCUUCUAGUGAUGUCCCCAACCGUCCUCCAGCGCACCUUUAACAGGAUGAUCAUUUCCUUGACCCGCAAAUUAAUCCAGUAUGUUGACAUCAACUUGAAGCUCUGUUACUUUGAGGCCAAUUGUCCCAUUGCAAUCAGUAAAGCCAAAACAGGAGACAACAUUACCGCACCAGAACACAAUCUAAAAGUCUGUAAUUGUAUCACAUACAAACACUUUUAAUUUGAAUAUGAAGAUGAUUCACAAGACACACAGAUAUAAUCAAGAACAGAUCAAAUUAAAUAAAUAUAAUUGGUCAACAAAGAUUUUCAUGUUGCACCCAAGAAUACCCACAUAGAUGUCUGAGGAGAUUUAAAGCUCCUUUACAUUUAUCAAUUAUUUUACUGAUAGGUGCUUCCCCGUCAGCUUAUUAUCCAUCCGCAUACUAAGAAAUCUUACCACUGACACUUCCUCGAGACAUUAAUCCUAUAAGUUAAAAUCAAGUGCAAGUCUAAUAAUGCUGUUUGUAAACCACGUAAUGUGUUUUAACGACUGAAAGCUUACAAUCCUCAUCAAUCUGCCCACUGUUUGAUCUACUAAUUGUAAAUUGCAGUUAAUACCUCAAAUCCAUAAAGCUAAGUCAUCUGUAUAUUGUGAUUUACCCAGGGAAUCCCAUUUUCCCAUCUCAGAGAAAAUAUCAUUAAUCAUAAUAUUAAAUAAUGAAGGGCUACAAAUACUGCAUUGUGGGAUUCCAUUCUCUGUGUCAUAGACACAAACAUGCCGACCGUUACUUGGACAGUCCAUACAAAAAAAAACUCAGAAAAAUUAUACAAUGUCCCCCUUACUCCUAAUUUAAUCAAAAGUCCUUUCUUCCAUAUCAUUUCCCUUUUCAGUCUCAAGAAAUACUGCUAUUACAACAUCGUUAUUUAAUUGUGCUUUCCGAAUAUCAUCGUCCAAACCUAAAACUGAAUCUAAUGUCAUUUCACACUUCCAAAAUCCACUCUAAUAAAACACUUUAUCACCACUCUUUCCAAAAUAUAACUCAAGCGCUUGAUUACUAUACAUUCCAUAAGUUUACAUAAAUGAGACUUUCACGAUAUAGGCCCUUAACUAGAAGGAUCAAAUGGGGAUCUGCCAGGUUUUCAGGCACUACUAUUUCCAUUUUCCAUGAGGAAAGUAGAUGCACAAUUCAAAUAUUUAAUAUUUUACAAAUGCGAAUUAUAUACAAUUACAAUUUCAAAUAUCACUCUUUCCUGGAGACACCUGACCUGCAUUAUUAAUAGACUUCUUAAAUUCAUACACAGAAAUCUCUCCAUCAGUGAUACUAUCAUUGCUGCAGCUGACUUCCAUCUCAUCAGGGUAUUCACUGAAAAAUAUAUCCCUGCAUUGUUUAACUUCUUCACUUAAAUUAUCCUGAUUAUGAAUCUCAGCAAAUGACCCAGCCAGUAACACAAUUGUUUCUGUAACAAUCAUUUUGCCCUCAUUAAUCAGCACUGGAAUAUUAUGAUCCCCACAAAUCCACCCAUUUUCUAAAUCAUAUCCCAAACAAUUCCAAGUUUGAUAUCCCUUCCAAUAUUAUCUCCAUAUAACCUCCAGUAAAUCACCUACUUCCUCACCACGGCCUUUGCCCUUUUAUUGGUAAUAAAGUAGCUCGGAGACCGAUGCACCAUCACAUAAAAACUCACAUUUCUCCCAAUUUGCUUCCUGUCCCGUUAUAAAUCCAAAUCCAAACUCAUAAAGACAGGAAGGCUGUCUGACGUUCACAUUAACUAAUCACCCUCCGAGUUCCCAUUUGAGCGACAGGUACUACAGCCAAUGACAGCAGGGUUCAGUGUGAAAUCUGAGCUCCGAUAGGCUGGAGGAAAUCGGCCCUUGACCAGCCCCUUCUCUUCCGCUCCAUCGCCAUGGCGGAGAUCAGCGAGUCGCUUCUGCCUCCCUAAACUUAAAUUCCGACAUAUACCUGUCUAGUAGACUCUUAAACUUCACUCGUGUCUCUGCCUCCACCACUGACUCGAGCAGUGCAUUCCACGCACCAACCACGCUCUGAGUAUAAAAUCUUCCUCUAAUAUCCCCCUUGAACUUCCCUCCCCUUACCUUAAAGCCAUGUCCUCUUGUAUUGAGCAGUGGUGCCCUGGGGAAGAGGCGCUGGCUGUCCACUCUAUCUAUUCCCCUUAAUAUCAACAAUACCUCUAUCAUUUCUCCUCUCAUCCUCCUUCUCUCCAGAGAGUAAAGCCUCAGCUCGCUUAAUCUCUGAUCAUAAUCCAUACUCUCUAAACCAGGCAGCAUUCUGGUAAAUCUGCUCUGUAACCUUUCCAGUGCUUCCACGUCCUUCUUAUUGUGAAGUGACCAGAACUGGACAGAGUACUCCGUGUGGCCCAACCAGAGUUUUAUAGAGCUGCAUCAUUACAUCGCGACUCAUAAACUCUGUCCCUCGAGUUAUGAAAGCUAACACCCCAUAAGCUUUCUUAACUACUCUGUCUACCCAUGAGGCAACUUUCAGGGAUCUGUGGACGUUCAGCCCCAGAUCCCUCUGCUCCUCCACACUUCCAAGUAUCCUGCCAUUUUUUUUUUUUUGUACUCUGCCUUGGAGUUUGUCCUUACAAGUGUACCACCUCACACUUCUCCAGUUUGAACUCUAUCUGCCACUUCUCAGCCCACUCCUGCAUCCUAUCAAUGUCUCUCUGCAAUCUUUGACAAUCCUCUGCACUAUCCACAACACCACCAACCUUUGUGUCUUCUGCAAAGUUGCCAACCCAUCCUUCUACCCCCACAUCCAGGUCGUUAAUAAAAAUCACAAAAAUUAGGGAUACCAGAACUGAUUCUUGUGGGACACCACUAGUCACAACCCUCCAAUCCGAAUGUACACCCUCCACCACAACUCUCUGCUUUCUGCAGGCAAGCCAAUUCUGAAUCCACCUGGUCAAACAUCCCUUGUUCCCAUGCCUUCUGACUUUAUGAAUAAGCCUACCGUGUGUAACCUUAUCAAAUGCAUUACUAAAAUCCAUGUAGAUCACAUCCACUGCACUACUCUCAUCUAUAUGCCUGGUCACCUCCUGAAAGAACUCCAUCAGGCUUGUUAGACACGAUCUGCCCUUCAGAAAGCCAUGCUGACUGUCACUGAUCAGACCAUGAUUCUUUAAAUGCCAAUAAAUCCUAUCUUUGUGAAUCUUUUCCAACAGCUUUCCCACCACAGAUGUAAGGCUCAAUGGUCUAUAAUUAUCCAGACUGUCCCUACUACCCUUUUUGAACAAGGGGACAACAUUCGCCACCCUCCAAUCCUCCGGUACCAUUCCCGUGGACAAUGAGGACAUAAUGAUCCUAGCCAGAGGCUCAGCAAUCUAUUUCCUCGCCUCGGAUGCAGAAUUGGGAAGUGGCAGAGGGAGUUCAACACAGAUGAAGAGAUUCAUUUCUGCAGGUCAAAUUUGAACACAGAAUAUAAUAUUAAUGAAUGCCAGGGACCUGAUCGGAGUCAUCCCUGUCCCUGGCAGCUGGACACAUCUCACCAUCCGGGUGACUCUAUCGCCAGCACAGAACCGCUGGUCGGUGGUUCACAACAGGAGGGACUCUAACCCUGUUACGGCGGAGGGAGGAUCGGGUGAGAGUUAAUGUUCUGGAAAUGGAGGGGUUGCCUCAUCGAUCAGAGGGAAUGAAAGGUUGGAGAGGCUUCAGUUGUUUCCUCUGUAGCGAUGGGGGCUGAGGGGAGACCAGAGGCAGACCGAGGCUGAGUAGAGAUCUGAGAGAAGAGAACCGACAUCGUUUGUUCACCAGGCAGACGUUGAUGGACUUUCGAUCGGUCAGGACAUGAAAGGAUACAAGGCGAAGGCAGGAAAAUGGAGCUGAGAGGGAAAAUGGAUUUACCGUGAUGAAGUGGCAGAGCAGUUUUGAUGGGCCAAAUGGCCUAAUUCUGCUUCUGUCCCUCAUGGUCUUAUGGUCCAAGAGCAGCCUCUCAUUCAAUGAGAGCAAGAGCAAUGAACUGGUUCUGGACUUUGGAGGAGGAAACAGGAACCCAUGAGGCAAUCCUCAUCGGGGCUCAAAGGUGGAGACGUUCAGCAACUUUAAAUUCCACAGUGUGAACAUUUCAGAGGAUCUGUCCCGAGCCCGGGACACAAGUGCAAUUACAAGAAAGCAGGAAAUGUCUGUUCCUGCUCAGAAGCUUGAAUGGAUUCAGAAUGACAUCUAAAACCCUGACAAACUUGGACAGAUGUGUGGUGGGGAGCAUGUUCAGAGGUUGCAUCAUGGCCUGGUAUGGAAACACCAAAGCCCUUGAAAGGAAAAUCCGAUUAGAAAUAGUGGAUAUGGCCCAGUACAUCACGGUAAAACUCUCCUUACAACUGAGCACAUCUCUGAGGGCUGCUGUCACAGGAAAUCAGCAUCCAUCAUCAAGGACCCCCACCACCCAGGCCAUGCUCUCUCCUCAAUGCUGCCAUCAGGAAGAAGGUGCAUGAGCCUCAGGAGCCUCAACCCCAGGUUCAGGAACAGUUAUUACACUCAACCAACAGGUCCUAAAAAAGAGGGGAUAAUUUUACUCAAAUUAACUUGCCCCAUCACUAAACCAUUCCCACAACCGAUGGACACAAUCAACAACUCUUCAUCUCAUGUUCUUAAUUU